CCUACGGGAGGCUGCAGUAGGGAAUUUUCGGCAAUGGGGGGAACCCUGACCGAGCAACGCCGCGUGAACGAAGAAGUUAUUCGUAAUGUAAAGUUCUUUUAACAGGGAAGAAAGAGAAAUUUGACGGUACCUGAAGAAUAAGCUCCGUCUAACUACGUGCCAUCAGCCGCUGUAAUACGUGGGUAGCGAGCGUUAACCGGAAUUAUUGGGCGAAAAGGGUGCGUAGAUGGCAUAGUAAGUCUUUUGUAAAAAUGCUGGGCUCAACCAAGAAGGGCAAAAGAUACUGGAAAGCUAGUGUACAACAGAGGCAAGUGGAAGUACAUGUGUAGCGGUAAAAUGCGUAAAUAUAUGUAAGAACACCAGUGGCGAAGGCGGCUUGCUGGGUCGAUACUGACAUUGAGGCACGAAAGCGUGGGGAGCAAACAGGAUUAGAUACCCGGGUAGUC
rnacentral:rRNA from 1 species